rnacentral:rRNA from 1 species
UACGAGGGGUGCAAGCGUUAUUCGGAAUUAUUGGGCGUAAAGGGUGCGUAGACGGUUUGUUAAGUUGGUUGUUAAAUUCUCCGGCCUAACUGGAGACCUGCGAUCAAAACUGAUAGACUAGAGGGUGGAAGAGAGAAGUGGAAUUCUCGGAGUAGCGGUAAAAUGCGUAGAUCUCGAGAGGAACACCGAUGGCGAAGGCAGCUUCUUGGUCCACACCUGACGUUGAGGCACGAAAGCGUGGGUAGCAAACAGG